UGCUUUUGAGGCGAAGAGUAGGUCGAUAAUUAAAGACAAAUAAUGGCGAGACAUGUUUAGGAGAAAAGAAUCAGUGAUCAAUGAGUUCAAGCAAUAAGUUCGUGCAGAGGAGUAAAGUAAUCAUUUCUCACACCAUUUGCAGUAGACUAAGAAAUCAAGGGCAGAACAUUUACCACCAGAAGAUAGAGCUUUCAUAGUUUCAUCAUCAUAAAGAACUAGCAGUUCACAGAGAUAUCAAGAACUGAAUGAUUUCAUACAAAAGGAGUAAGGCUGUCCAACAAUUUAAUCAACCAGGACUGGGAUCAGAUCCCACUGCGAGCAAGCCUAAGAGCGUC
rnacentral:lncRNA from 1 species